rnacentral:rRNA from 1 species
UACGUAGGGUGCAAGCGUUGUCCGGAAUUAUUUGGGCGUAAAGAGCUCGUAGGCGGUCUGUCGCGUCUGCUGUGAAAACCUAGGGCUUAACUCUGGGCGUGCAUUCGAUACGGGCAGGCUAGAGUUCGGUAGGGGAGACGUGGAAUUCCUGGUGUAGCGGUGAAAUGCGCAGAUAUCAGGAGGAAACACCGGUGGCGAAGGCGGGUCUCUGGGCCGAUACUGACGCUGAGGAGCGAAAGCGUGGGGGAGCGAACAGG